rnacentral:lncRNA from 1 species
AUGAUGCAUGCAUUCAUAUUCAUGAUUAUGGGCAUAGUAGCAUAGUUUUCCUACUACUGCAUUUACAGCUUUCAGAUACAUAUCUAUCUAUCUGUUGUUACUUGUGCCCACUUGGACCUAGUGGGGAGAUCGGCAGAGUCGGCGGCCGAGCCCACUGGGAACUAUGGAAGAUAGUUCUCACCCCACUCUAUUUCCAGUGGUAGGUUCAGGGCUGCAGAGAGGGGACCGCGGCAAGGGCGUCGCGCCCGACCAGUGAGACCGUGGUAGUAUAGUAGCUUUCCUUUUUGCAUUAGUCACCUAUGUAUAGAGAGAGAUUUAUUGUAGGU